GUGUUGUAUGAAAGGAGAGAAGGUUAGCACUCCCCUUGUGAGGAUGGAAAAGGUCCUAGUGGUCUUUGGUUAAGGCACUACCUACUACUACCUAUGCGUAUACCUGUAGGCAUAGACCUACAGUCUAU